rnacentral:tRNA from 1 species
GUGGUGGCUCAGUGGUAGAGCACUUGCCUAGCAUGUGUGAGGCCCUGGGUUCGAUUCCCAGCACCACA